CAGCGUGAUAAUGACGGGGGCGUACAACAGCUUCUUCCGGAUGUUUGACAGGGAGACGGGGCGGGGCGUGACCCUGGAGGCGUGGCGAGAGACCAGUAAGCCGCGAGCUGUCUGCGGACGCGACGGAUCUACACCGGGGGCAAGCGUCGUCGCGGCGACGUGGGGGUGGACAGUCUGGACUUCACUAAGAAGAUCUCUCCACAUGGCCUGGCACCCGAGAGAACAUCAUCGCCAUCGCCUCCACCAACAACCUCUACAUCUUCCAGGACCGGUCAACAGCAUGUCACUAGACGUCCCGUUUAACGGAUUCCCUUUAUGAUCACAACACCUCAGCACAUUGGAUACACCGGACACCUUUACACACAGCUGGUGAGAGUGGCACUUCUGGACACCUAGUGACAACAUCUGGAUGAAUCUAGACACUGGUGACUCAUCUGGAUGAAUUUAGACACCUGGUGACCCAUCUGGACACCUGGUGACCCACCUGGAUGAAUCUAGACACCUGGUGACUCAUCUGGAUGAAUUUAGACACCUGGUGACCCAUCUGGAUGAAUCUAGCACCUGGUGACCCAUCUGGAUGAAUCUAGACACCUGGUGACACAUCUGAAUGAAUCUAGACACCUGCUGACCCAUCUGGAUGAACCUAGACACUGCUGACCCAUCUGGAUGAAUCUAGACACCUGCUGACCCAUCUAGAUGAAUCUAGACACCUGCUGACCCAUCUUGAUGAAUCUAGACACCUGGUGACCCAUCUGGAUGAAUCUAGACACCUGCUGACCCAUCUGGAUGAAUCUAGACACCUGCUGACCCAUCUGGAUGAAUCUAGACACCUGGUGACCCAUCUGGAUGAAUCUAGACACCUGCUGACCCAUCUAGAUGAAUUGACACCUGCUGACCCAUCUGGAUGAAUCUAGACACCUGGUGACACAUCUGGACACUUCUGGACACCUGGUGACACAUCUGGACACAUCUAGACACCUGGUGACACAUCUGGACACCUGGUGACACAUCUGGACACCUGGUGCACAUCUGGACACUUCUGGACACCUGGUGACACAUCUGGACACUUCUGGACACCUGGUGACUCAUCUGGACACUUCUGGACACCUGGUCCCAUCUGGAUGAAUCUAGACACCUGGUGACUCAUCUGGACGAAUCUAGACCACCUGGUGACACAUCGGGAUGAAUCUAGACACCUGGUGACUCAUCUGGAUGAAUUAGACACAUGGUGACACAUCUGGAUGAAUCUAGACACCUGGUGACUCAUCUGGACGAAUCUAGACACCUGGUGACUCAUCUGGAUGAAUCUAGACACCUGGUGACUCAUCUGGACGGAUCUAGACACCUGGUGACCCAUGUGGAUGAAUCUAGACACCUGGUGACUCAUCUGGACGAAUCUAGACACCUGGUGACUCAUCUGGAUGAAUCUAGACACCUGGUGACUCAUCUGGACGAAUCUAGACACCUGUGACACAUCUGGAUGAAUCUAGACACCUGGUGACCCAUGUGGACCAUCUAGACACCUGCUGACCCAUCUGGAUGAAUCUAGACACCUGGUGACUCAUCUGGACACUCCUGGAAAGCUGAUCCUAGAUCUGUGCCUAAGGGCAACUUCUACCCGAGCUACUAAAUCACUUAUGCUUCCAUCCAUCCACUCACAUAGGCUCUGACCCAAAUGGACCCUAUUCCCUAUAUAGUGCACCUCUGGGUUCCACUACCUGGGACCAUAAGGCUCUGGUCAGAAGUAGUGCCCUAUAAAGGGAAUACUAGGUUGAUCGUAUUCUCAUGUCAUCCACCAUGUUCUGUAAAUACUGUCUGUCUGUCUGUCUGUCUGUCUGUCUGUCUGUCUGUCUGUCUGUCUGUCUGUCUGACCUAGUUAUCUCAGUGGUCAACCAUUACAUAGAGUCAGAGUUAUAUAGUGAGACUGUGCAGGAUUUUGUUCCAGACCACCAACAACACACUUUGAAUAUAGCUAAUCAAGUGGAUUAGUCAAAAUCAGGUGAGUUAGUGCAGGGCUGGAACAAAAGCCUGCACAGCUUGUACUGAUGGUCUUCUAGGGUUGGUGGCCACUCGUUUAAAGGGUCAAUCUGGGAUUGAUUCUCGUCCUGGGUCGGUGGCCACUGGUUUAAAGGGUCAAUCUGGGAUUGAUUCUCGUCCUGGGUCGGUGGCCACUGGUUUAAAGGGUCAAUCUGGGAUUGAUUCUCGUCCUGGGUAGGUGUCCACUGGUUUAAAGGGUCAAUCUGGGAUUGAUUCUCGUCCUGGGUUGGUGGCCACUAGUUUAAAGGGUCAAUCUGGGAUUGAUUCUCGUCCUGGGUUGGUGUCCACUGGUUUAAAGGGUCAAUCUGGGAUUGAUUCUCGUCCUGGGUCGGUGGCCACUGGUUUAAAGGGGCAAUCUGGGAUUGAUUCUCGUCCUGGGUUGGUGGCCACUCGUUUAAAGGGUCAAUCUGGGAUUCCGCGACAUCACACCGCUUGAGUUCUCUCUCCUCCAAUCAUACACAGUAGUGUAGUGGCGUCAGCGCGGCAACCUCACGGCUAACCAAUCAGUAAGAGUGUUGUUGUGCUGUGGUCAGGACCAUUGCAACAGUAGCAUGUUAUCCAGUGUUACUGUCGUUGUAUAUCUAUCAUACCUGUAUAACUAAUAGUUAUCUAAACACUCCCAAUGAACACUUGAUGAAGGAAUGUGUAUACAAAAAUAAAUUAAAUKAUGUGAAUCUGAG